UCGGGAUUAUAGGAUUUCGCCCCUACCCCGAGACUACCGCCGACCUCCCUCGCCCCCAAGCCGAAGAGUAUUCCCCGCAGCCCAACGAUUGGAUCGUUGGAUUUAACGGAGAACUUUUCCGGCCGGCUACGGACGCUUUAGACCCAAUAAUCGUCCCAACCAUUCGAGGAGCUGGUAUUACCGC
rnacentral:rRNA from 1 species